rnacentral:rRNA from 1 species
AUUGAACGCUGGCGGCAGGCCUAACACAUGCAAGUCGAGCGAGCGGCGGACGGGUGAGUAAUGUAUGGGGACUGCCCGAUAGAGGGGGAUAAAUACUGGAAACGGGAGCUAAUACCGCAUACUAUCGGAUAACCCAUAUGGGAUUAGCUAGUAGGUGAGGUAAUGGCUCACCUAGGCGACGAUCACUAGCUGGUCUGAGAGGAUGAUCAGACACACUGGGACUGAGACACGGCCAAAACUCCUACGGUGGGAGUAGUGGGGAAUAUUGCACAAGGGGCGCAAGCCUGGUGCAGCCAUGCCGCGUGUAUGACGAAGGCCCUAGGGUUGUAAAGUACUUCCAGUCGGGAGGCGUUCCCGACAGAAGAAGCACCGUCCAACUCCGUGCCAGCAGCCGCGGUAAUUC